GACGAACGCUGGCGGCGUGCUUAACACAUGCAAGUCGAACGGAAAGGCCCUGCUUUUGUGGGGUGCUCGAGUGGCGAACGGGUGAGUAACACGUGAGUAACCUGCCCUUGACUUUGGGAUAACUUCAGGAAACUGGGGCUAAUACCGGAUAGGAGCUCCUGCUGCAUGGUGGGGGUUGGAAAGUUUCGGCGGUUGGGGAUGGACUCGCGGCUUAUCAGCUUGUUGGUGGGGUAGUGGCUUACCAAGGCCUUGACGGGUAGCCGGCCUGAGAGGGUGACCGGCCACAUUGGGACUGAGAUGCGGCCCAGACUCCUACGGGAGGCAGCAGUGGGGAAUAUUGCACAAUGGGCGGAAGCCUGAUGCAGCAACGCCGCGUGCGGGAUGACGGCCUUCGGGUUGUAAACCGCUUUCGCCUGUGACGAAGCGUGAGUGACGGUAAUGGGUAAAGAAGCACCGGCUAACUACGUG
rnacentral:rRNA from 1 species